CUGUCUGUUUUCUUUGAGAAUCAAAGAAUUGCAGCAAGUCUUCUAGGUUUUCAAUGAAAUUUCCUUGUUUUUCAGAUAAUCUGUAUAGAGUGGCACCUUAACCACCACUGGUGAAAUAGAAGAUGACUAGUGGAUGGUCAUCACUUUGCAGCUCACUUUCACUUUCUGCAGCCCAUCUCUUCUCAUUCACAAUCAUUGUCUUUGGAGGAAUGGUGACAGUGCAGUCCUCAUGACUGGGCAGGUCUACUGCAUGUUGACAGCUGAUACUUGUUCUCUAUUUACUCCGAGAGGCCUACUACACAUUGUACCUCAGUUAUGACUGUACUCGUGCUGGCUUCUAUGAUGUUAAUUUCCUUUACCUGCACUGCGUUAAACUUGGUCAAUUCUGUUACUGUCGAACACCAACAGAUGAAAAUAAGAUUUAGCUGAUCCUGCCAACAUUGUGACAUAAGCGGUCCAAUGUCCAAUAUCUCACUCUGCAGUCAAACAUAAUUUUUUUUGUAUGAACGCUCAGUAAAACAUUGGAAAUGUUAGACUUUUUUAGUAUUGAUUUAUAUAGUUACAUAUUUUUAAAAUAAUAACAAUUCUUUUUAUUGAUGUAUGUUUAAGUAUGCAAAAAUGAACAUUGAUGAUAUUAAAGGUGAGGUAUUUAUUUGUGAUUUAUCUUCUGAAUAAAAUUUUAUAUCAAUAA